rnacentral:rRNA from 1 species
GAUCCUGGCUCAGAUUGAACGCUGGCCGCAUGCCUAACACAUUCAAGUCGAACGGCAGCACGGGGGCAACCCUGGUGGCGAGUGGCGAACGGGUGAGUAAUACAUCGGAACGUGUCCUGGAGUGGGGGAUAGCCCGGCGAAAGCCGGAUUAAUACCGCAUACGCUCGAGAGAGGAAAGCGGGGGAUCUUCUGACCUCGCGCUCAAGGGGCGGCCGAUGGCGGAUUANCUAGUUGGUAGGGUACCCGCCUACCAAGGCGACGAGUUGUAGCUGGUCUGAGAGGACGACCAGCCACACUGGGACUGAGACACGGCCCAAACUCCUACGGGAGGCAGCAUUGGGGAAUUUUGGACAAUGGGGGCAACCCUGAUGCCAAGCAAUCACCGCGUGUGUGAAGAAGGCCUUCGGGUUGUAAAGCACUUUUGUCCGGAAAGAAAUCCUCUGGGUUAAUACCUCGGGGGGAUGACGGUACCGGAAGAAUAAGCACCGGCUAACUACGUGCCAGCAGCCGCGGUAAUACGUAGGGUGCGAGCGUUAAUCGGAAUUACUGGGCGUAAAGCGUGCGCAGGCGGUUUGCUAAGACCGAUGUGAAAUCCCCGGGCUUAACCUGGGAACUGCAUUGGUGACUGGCAGGCUAGAGUGUGGCAGAGGGGGGUAGAAUUCCACGUGUAGCAGUGAAAUGCGUAGAGAUGUGGAGGAAUACCGAUGGCGAAGGCAGCCCCCUGGGCCAACACUGACGCUCAUGCACGAAAGCGUGGGGAGCAAACAGGAUUAGAUAGCCUGGUAGUC